AUGAGGAUCCUCCAAAUUCCACUAAAUUUUCAGGCUUUCGAUGACUUCAUUGCUUGGCAUCACACAAGAAAUGGAAUUUUUUCAGUGAGGACAGCAUACCAAGUACAAUGGUCACAUAAGUUCAGAGGUCAACUAGGAGAGAAUAUGACGUCCAGUAGUACCUUGCAAACGGCGAUUUGGAAUCAGCUUUGGAAAUUACAAGUACCUAGGAAGAUACAGAUUUUCUGCUGGCGAGCUUUGCGAGGUCUUGGCCUGUGGGACCGAAUAGGAACUGCAGCUAGAAUGGAUCUCUCUGGUUCGGUAAUACUGGAAUCACUUCUACUAGACUUGGAUGAACCCCUGCCUCUUAUGCCAAGUAUGAAUUGUAAGGAAGUUGUCGCGGCGGGAUGCUGGUAUUUAUGGUGGCUGCGGAGGCAACAUACUCAUCAUGAUGGUUGCCCACCUCAGUUUAGAUGGCCAAACUCGAUCCUAGCCAUAGUUGGGAAUCAUCUCAAGUCAACCCAGAAGAGGGAAGUGAGAGAACAUAAAUGGACAAGGCCAGAACCGAAGUUUGUAAAGUUAAAUGUAGAUGCAUCGUACCACGCGGAUGAUGGUAUGGGGGCAACGGCUGCUGUCUUGCGCGAUGAAAAAGGAGUAUUUAUAGCAGCCAAAUGCAGAUUUUAUCACCAUGCUGCAGAUGCAAUGACUAUGGAAGCUAUGGCAAUGAGGGAUGGGUUAAUCCUGGCAAAUUCUAUGGGGUUCAAUAGAGUUGAAGCUGAAUCAGACUCUCAAAAUGUGGUAAACUAUUGCCAAGGUCAAGAUCAAUGGUGGGACUCAGCAGCGGCAAUUUUUGCAGAAUGUAUAGACGUAGCUACGUCAAUAGGAAAGGUCAUCUUCACACACUGUUUUCGUGAAGUAAAUUCUAUUGCUCAUGAGCUAGCAAAGUUUAGUUAUUGUAAUAAGUGUGAUUAU
rnacentral:rRNA from 1 species